GAUGAACGCUGGCGGCGUGCCUAAUACAUGCAAGUCGAGCGAACAGACGAGGAGCUUGCUCCUCUGACGUUAGCGGCGGACGGGUGAGUAACACGUGGAUAACCUACCUAUAAGACUGGGAUAACUUCGGGAAACCUGAUCUAAUACCGGAUAAUAUAUUGAACCGCAUGGUUCAAUAGUGAAAGACGGUUUUGCUUUCACUUAUUGAUGGAUCCGCGCCGCAUUAGCUAGUUGGUAAGGUAACGGCUUACCAAGGCAACGAUGCGUAGCCGACCUGAGAGGGUGAUCGGCCACACUGGAACUGAGACACGGUCCAGACUCCUACGGGAGGCAGCAGUAGGGAAUCUUCCGCAAUGGGCGAAAGCCUGACGGAGCAACGCCGCGUGAGUGAUGAAGGUCUUCGGAUCGUAAAACUCUGUUAUUAGGGAAGAACAAAUGUGUAAGUAACUAUGCACGUAUUGACGGUACCUAAUCAGAAAGCCACGGCUAACUACGUG
rnacentral:rRNA from 1 species